rnacentral:rRNA from 1 species
AGAGUUUGAUCCUGGCUCAGGACGAACGCUGGCGGCGUGCCUAAUACAUGCAAGUAGAACGCUGAAGAGAGGAACUUGCUCUUCUUGGAUGAGUUGCGAACGGGUGAGUAACGCGUAGGUAACCUGCCUUGUAGCGGGGGAUAACUAUUGGAAACGAUAGCUAAUACCGCAUAACAAUGGAUGACCCAUGUCAUUUAUUUGAAAGGGGCAAAUGCUCCACUACAAGAUGGACCUGCGUUGUAUUAGCUAGUAGGUGAGGUAACGGCUCACCUAGGCGACGAUACAUAGCCGACCUGAGAGGGUGAUCGGCCACACUGGGACUGAGACACGGCCCAGACUCCUACGGGAGGCAGCAGUAGGGAAUCUUCGGCAAUGGGGGCAACCCUGACCGAGCAACGCCGCGUGAGUGAAGAAGGUUUUCGGAUCGUAAAGCUCUGUUGUAAGUCAAGAACGAGUGUGAGAGUGGAAAGUUCACACUGUGACGGUAGCUUACCAGAAAGGGACGGCUAACUACGUGCCAGCAGCCGCGGUAAUACGUAGGUCCCGAGCGUUGUCCGGAUUUAUUGGGCGUAAAGCGAGCGCAGGCGGUUUGAUAAGUCUGAAGUUAAAGGCUGUGGCUCAACCAUAGUUCGCUUUGGAAACUGUCAAACUUGAGUGCAGAAGGGGAGAGUGGAAUUCCAUGUGUAGCGGUGAAAUGCGUAGAUAUAUGGAGGAACACCGGUGGCGAAAGCGGCUCUCUGGUCUGUAACUGACGCUGAGGCUCGAAAGCGUGGGGAGCGAACAGGAUUAGAUACCCUGGUAGUCCACGCCGUAAACGAUGAGUGCUAGGUGUUGGAUCCUUUCCGGGAUUCAGUGCCGCAGCUAACGCAUUAAGCACUCCGCCUGGGGAGUACGACCGCAAGGUUGAAACUCAAAGGAAUUGACGGGGGCCCGCACAAGCGGUGGAGCAUGUGGUUUAAUUCGAAGCAACGCGAAGAACCUUACCAGGUCUUGACAUCCCGAUGCUAUUUCUAGAGAUAGAAAGUUACUUCGGUACAUCGGUGACAGGUGGUGCAUGGUUGUCGUCAGCUCGUGUCGUGAGAUGUUGGGUUAAGUCCCGCAACGAGCGCAACCCCUAUUGUUAGUUGCCACCAUUCAGUUGGGCACUCUAGCGAGACUGCCGGUAAUAAACCGGAGGAAGGUGGGGAUGACGUCAAAUCAUCAUGCCCCUUAUGACCUGGGCUACACACGUGCUACAAUGGUUGGUACAACGAGUUGCGAGUCGGUGACGGCAAGCUAAUCUCUUAAAGCCAAUCUCAGUUCGGAUUGUGGGCUGCAACUCGCCUACAUGAAGUCGGAAUCGCUAGUAAUCGCGGAUCAGCACGCCGCGGUGAAUACGUUCCCGGGCCUUGUACACACCGCCCGUCACACCACGAGAGUUUGUAACACCCGAAGUCGGUGAGGUAACCUUUUGGAGCCAGCCGCCUAAGGUGGGAUAGAUGAUUGGGGUGAAGUCGUAACAAGGUA